rnacentral:misc_RNA from 1 species
CCUUCUCAAGUCACAUUUUUGACUCUUCGCAGUUUGAAAUUUUUGACUUGGAUUGUGGAAGUUGCUGGCUUUUUCAAGUUUGCUCUUCUUAAAUACAUUAGCAAGAGGCUGAUUUGCUUGUUGUUGGUAUCAUAAUCUUUUUGUACCAUCGCAAUCAAUCAAACUUCUCAUUCGAUGAAAAUGAGGGCCCUCGUGCUUCUAACAGUCUGUUGGAGACAAUUUGAAA